AAACACCCCGCAAAAAACCUCUCCUGUCGAUCCCUCGAGGACACAGAGCCGCCGUCCUCUCGUGCGAUCUCGCUGCCGCCGCCCUCCGAUCUGCUCCUCCUCGUCUCCCGAGGAUACGCAGCCGCAUCCGCAUCCGCCGACGCCGAUCCGGGCAGAUGCGGCCGUCGUGGAUCACGAGGACACCGUCACCACCGGCGCCUCGGAUACGUCGCCCGUCAUGGAUCAGGAUCCCCAGGAUGCCGACGCCGCCGCGGAUCCACUGCCACGCGCAGCUCGGGCCCGAGCCGCGACGGGCUCGGCUAUCGCCGCUGCCGCGUGCGCCCUUCGUCUCCAGGCUCGAAGAGCCCCGCCGCCAGCCACCCCCAACCCACAUCGGCGUCAAGCUAUCUCCUUGGUGUUGUUGUCCUCGAUAGGCUAAUGACUCGAGGCAUGCUGCUAGCAUAAUUACAGAAGGCCAUACAGUCAGCGGGAAAGUGCUCGCCGUCGCCAAUGAUUGACUGCUGAGGAUCUCCAUUCGGGGAUUUAGCUACCUGCUCAAAUAAGAUGGUCAAUAGUUGUUCCUGUGAUCCAUUCUAUGGAUGAAGAAGGAGAAGACAAGGGAACACAAUAAUUUCUGUGUCAUAUUAUUUGUUUCUGAUGGGGCUACUCUGGAAUACAGUUUAUGGGCGAGAGAUCAGACUUUCAGAUUGGGUGCGGUAUUAUAUCUCGUCAGAUUCAGUAACCAGCGUGGAAUUAAUUUUAAUUUUGUUCCUCAUCAGAUAAGUAGAGACAUGCUUUACCCCAAUCUUCAUUGAUGAAUCUCAACUACAAAAUCCAUGAUAGUUGCGCUGUAUUUUGUUGGGUCCAACAUAAAGCUGAGAGCAGAGUACCUACUUUGUCUUGGUAUAUCAAAAUAAUAAGGAAUCUGUGAGAUUAGAUAAGCCAAAUAGUUGGUACUUGCUGAGUCUACAAAAUUAUCUUAAAUGUUCCAUUUAGUAGUUCACUGAAUAUUAAACUAUGAUGUUUCUUCCAUUGGGGAGUUGUUUUAUGUAGCCCAAACAACAAACAGCCUAUGAACUUCUGAACCAAUUCUUUUUUUAGUAGGACCUUAUGCUCUUUUAACUGAAAAACUGGGAGCACUAGCAGUUCUUCACAAGGUAAUCACCUCCUAUGAAUGUUUGGUGGUGCUGGUCCAAUUUCUAUUGCAUUGCUUCUGAUGUAUGAAUGGACUAUUUUCCUCAUUUGCUAAUUAACGCAACUGGCGUAAUUCUUCAUGAGAAUAGAUAUUUUUGUAGUGCACAGUAUGUUUAUUUUAGUUACCCUCCUUAUGAAUAGAUUUUUUGUAGUGUACAGUACAAUUUUUUUGUCAGGAUUGCAUGUUGCUUGCUACUGCUACUUCUUGUACAAUUGUGUUGUUUUGUAAUAUUUCUUAACUGUUAAGAGAUAUUGCCACACUGAGAUUUUGCUACGGGAAUGAAAGUGGAUUGGACAAUGCCGCUAGCUCGGAUGGCGCCCCGUCUGGAUGUCGAUCGGGGGCGAUGUGAGGAGGGCAAGGUAGAGAAAGGGGGUCAGGUUGGCGCCACAGUAAGGUGAGCGAGGGGGCGGGGUUGCGUCGCUGCUGAGAUGCGCGAGGGGAUCGGAGCUGCGCCAAGCGGAUUCAUCAGAGCACUUCGCUCCCGCUGCCUUUGGACUGAUGCUUAGAUGGAUUGAUGCGUAAGAGUUUGAAUCCUUUCAUUUUUCACUUCUCUAAUGGGUGGCUGAUGGCCUGAUGCUUUGAUGGAUCGAUGCAUGCUAGAACUGUCUGAUAUGUGCGUGCGUGUGCACAUUUUUUAUUUCGAUUUUGUAGAGAUUGGUUCAUGCUUCUCUUCUUAUGGAUUUCUUCUUUCUUUUGUCUGUGUUUGUCACUCUGUUGCUGAAUGAUUUGGUGAUUUUUUUUCUUUGUGGGCUUAUCUGAUGAAAUUUACUGCUAAUUAGAUCGUGCACUGACGUUGCCACCAGAAGAUAGAUCAUAGAUGCAUGUGUUUGCUUUCGAACAUGGUGCGUAAUCUUUAGGUUUGCCAAACGUCACCUCCGGCAAUUUCAGCUCAACAUGUCUUGGUGUCUGCAGAUGAUUUGGUGAUUUUUCUUUUCUUUGUGGGCUUAUCUGAUGAAAUUUACUGCUAAUUAGAUCGUGCACUGACGCUGCCACCAGAAGAUAGAUCAUAGAUGCAUGUGUUUGCUUUCAAACAUGGUGCGUAAUCUUUAGGUUUGCCAAAUGUCAUCUCCGGCAAUUUCAGCUCAACAUGUCUUGGUUUCUGCAUUCUGAGUUUAGAGUUCUACAUAGUGGAAUGGUUAGUAUAUGGGAGUUUGCAUCUACAGUUGCAUACUGUAGUUCCAUUCCGUCCUUCCUUAUUCAGAGAUGAACUGAACCUCUAAUUUUUCAUGUACUUUUGUGUGAUUGUGUGAAAGUGAGGUGGAACUGACUAUUUCGGGGGGAAAUCAAAAGAUACCACAUUAGUAUAGUAGAACGUACUACUUGCUCUUAAGAUUUCAGAAAUGACAUGUCAAGGACAGGGUAUAGAGAUCCGAAGAGUAUUCUCCUUCCGUCAUCGGUUGUUAAAUUAGUAACGCCCAGCAUCGUGUGCGAUGGAGCCCUUACCGCUGUUCACAACUGAACUCUUUAUUUUAUUUUAAUCCUUCGGAUUUGUCGGGUCAGGGAUCCUUCAGUUUUGUUGGAUCAGGAAGUAAGAGCACCGGGACUUCAAGGACGAUGUAGAUUGUCGAAGGCAAAGUUGCAGAGUGCAUGGGCAGCAGUACCAGUGCAAGAACCUCGCGCAUGACGGAGCUGCUGUGGUAGAGAAGCAAAACCCAACGACUAACUCUACAAGCUCUGGUCGCUGUCUUAAACAUCACUAACGUAAUCAUAUCUCACUCCAUUAUGCAAAUUUUAUUUCUGAUUUUUUUUAUUCUAUUUCAGUACUUGUACCUUUUUACAAUGCGUUUAGUGCAUAUGAAUGAAGUAUAUUGAUUUAUCUUCUACCUAUGGUUUUCUGUGCUUUAUUGGUGCUCAACGUUUUUGACAUGUUGGCAUGCAUAUUACUAAAUUUGGUCAAGCAACCCGCCAACAAAUACAAAGAAGGGCUAUAUGUCUUCUGAUCGUCUUGAUGGCAUAUAUGAGGACCUGCAAUACUGAACCUGGAAGUUAGUCGUUGAGGCAGUGGUCAUGGUAGUGAUAUCUACUGCCAGAACAUAAACGUUUGGCCCUCCUUGUUGCCACGAAGGAUUAUGAUCUACUGGAUUUACAGAACCAGUUAAUGGCAUGAUGCUGGCAGUAGUAAUGGAGGGUUGUGAUUUCUGGAUGGAAUAGGACGGAUUGGCGUCCUCUUCUCACGAAACACACUGACACAAAAUUUCUGGUUUCUGACGUACAAGGAUUAUUUACUAUGAACAAAUAUUGCAAUGUUCAUUCGUAGUACUGUUUGUUGAGGCGAUGCCUCUCCUACAGGUAUGAAAUUAUCGUUGGGCCUUCAACUAUUUUUAUUUGAUGUAUAUGAUUCCAAACACUACUUGUUCCAGUACUACAUAUUGGACAAAAACAAUUUCCUUAUAUGCUAGAACACGACAUGGCUAAUUAGUAAUUGCACUACAUUCCUAAUAACUGUUAAACUUUUGGGAGGCAUGGCAAUGUUCUUCAACCAUGAUUAAGUUCAUAUAUAAUUAGACACUUCAAAUAGAAUGUCCUGUGACACAACUCACCUUGGUAACUAUGCUACAAAGUGUCUGAACCUGCAUUUUAUAUCAGGAUGAUAAAAUUUCACCAAUCUAUCAUCGUUCACACUAAAUUGAACUUGGGAGUGUUAAAAACCGCCGUCACUAAUUUAGCUAACCGCUCACCAGUAGGUAAUCUAGCUAAUCGCUCACCAAGUAAGUAAUCUUUAAUCUGAAGUUGUAUAUUGACUGUAGGGCAAUAACAACCCAGUUUUCAACAGCGCAAAAUACUGAAAUGCUGCUAAUUUAAGAAUUGAAGAGAUUGCCUUUUCAUUUUGUAAAAUCUUCCUGUUCCAUUGUGCCAUCUGAAGUGACCAAGCAUGAUCUUUGAUUGGCCAUGUAUGAUGCAGCGGAGUCAUUUUAUUAAGCUGGCAUUAGUAGUUUUGCAUUUUACAUGAUUUGUGUGCAAGUUUGAACGUCUGUCGAAUAAUAUUAAUUAUAAUACUGAAACAGUCUGUUAUUGUUGUUAUCUUCUUGGGAGUACUUGAGAAGGCGCGAAGAGGAAGGUGGGGACACGCCAUGGCAGAGGCCAGUGCCGAAUCUACGUGUAAGCCGUGGCGUAGGGUAACCCAUAGCUUUUUUAUAGCACCCCUUUGUUUUUCUAAAUUGUACGCAUUAGUCCUUGUAACUUGAGAAGAUUGACCCCACAGAUUUCUAAUGUCCCCACAUGGUAUUCUUGCUGGCGCAGCUGCUGGCAGAGGCGCGUGCUUGACAGGAGGAGCCGGGGAGGCAUGACGGUGGACAUGUGGAUGUUAUCGUGGCAUUGACACAUUUCGCCCUACCAACACUGCAUACCAACGUGACUGAAUGUUAUCGUGGCUUAGAUGCCCUAUCAAAUUCUUGCUUGACUUUUUGGUUUUGUAUGCUCGGAUGUAUGUUUCAGUUCCUACAUGGUAUUUCUCAUGUGGAGUUGAAACCACAUUUGGUUGGUCCAAUAGUAAAUAAUCAUAUGUUUCACUCUAAAA